rfam:Felis catus isolate Cinnamon breed Abyssinian chromosome X, whole genome shotgun sequence.
ACCUGCCUGGCUCAGUCAGAAGAGCAUGUGGCUCUUGAUCUCAGGGUCAUGAGUUCAAGCCCCAUGUUGGGUA